UACGGAGGGUGCAAGCGUUGCUCGGAAUUAUUGGGCGUAAAGGGUAGGUAGGUGGUCUCAUUUGUCUGGGGUGAAAGCCUUGAGCUUAACUCAAGAAGUGCCCCAGAAACGGUGAGACUGGAGUCCUGGAGAGGGUCGUGGAAUUCCCGGUGUAGCGGUGAAAUGCGUAGAGAUCGGGAGGAACACCAGAGGCGAAAGCGGCGACCUGGACAGGUACUGACACUCAACUACGAAAGCGUGGGAGCAAACAGG
rnacentral:rRNA from 1 species